GAUUGGGAAACCCGCCCCUGUUCGCCCGCUGUUUUACUACAACACAGACUUUCGAUAUUCAUUGACGUUGAUGUCUGUCUGCGGAUACUGGGGGGCUUUGACGGCAUAAAACCCUUGCAGCAAACAUGUAACACGACAGAUCAUUAUUUACUAUUUCGGCAAAAAUUGCUUCUUGAAAUAUUCCUGAAGGCUGAUUGUGAGGAAGGAUAGCAUUGUUCACUGAAGCCCAAAGGAGAAGUAUUGUGGACUGGCGCCUGCAGGAUGCUAAUAUGAUUCUCCACCUCAGUGCCAGGGUACUGUUGUGUAUUUUCCAUUAUUUCCAUGCUCAAACCAACAAAACUCAGGCAAAUAGAGAUAGUUACUCAAUACCUGUUUGAUAAAGGGAUGAAUGUUCUGAAACAAUUGUGAUGACGCAGGGCAUGAUUUUACCAUUGUAUAAGUUACAUUUUAUGGGUACCCUUUUUGACUGUUAUAUUACAAGUGGACAGGGUGUUGCUAAACCCAAUUCAGUAUACAACAUAUGACAACAUAUAUUGUUGGAAAACUCCAGGUGGGGGACAUUGCUGCUGUACCCUUGAGCAAGGUACUUUACCUAGAUUGCUCUAGUAAAAACCCAACUGUAUAAAUGGGGAAUUGCAUGUAAAAAUAAUGUGAUAUCUUGUAACAAUUGUAAGUCACCCUGGAUAAGGGCGUCUGCUAAGAAAUAAAUAAAUAAUAAUAAUAAUAAUAAUAAUAAUAAUAAUAAUAAUAAUCCCCCAAUAACCAUUUUCUCCAUCACAGGUGGUUUUAUACCGCACUAGAAUUGUGUCCACUUCAGUUGAAGUGACCCAGUUGUCCAAAUCCUCUAGCUGAACAUUGGUUAUAGAAUUUUAAGUUCACCUUGUCUAUUUUUCAAGUAACGUCGAGUUAAAGAAGCUUUAGACUUUUUAUCCUCUGGUGUAAAGCGCCCCUGUUGCUUUGGUUUGUAAUAUAGUACAAUCACAUGGGGUACAGUUUGUUCUUAACACAUGCUAUCCUGCCUGUUGAAGCAAAUUGGGGCAUUGAGUUCUCAUCAUACCGGCUAGCCUCAGGCUCUUCUGUAAUGAGCAGUUCAAUACCUGGGAUUUACCUCUAUCUUAAGGAGAAUAAACAACCUCCAGAUAUACUCUAUGUGGCUGCAUCAGACUUGGAUAUUAUUUUGCAGUGGACUAAUCCCACUAUGUAUGCACAUCUACUGGAAGGCAAGAUACACAUGAGAUAAAUGCUGGGCACACUCAAGACCCACUCCUGACAAAACUAAAGAUUGUGCAUCCAUGAAAGUGGGGAGGAAUGUAAUGUAGAUACAGUGGGGGUACAUUAAAUAAAGUUACUUAAGAUUUACGUCACUGUACUAGCAACACUACUUUUUACGUCAGGUGUCUAGUUAAAACAGCUAUUUCCCUUAAAUUACCUUAUAAUGCUCUCCACAAAUUAGCAGCCGUUCAUUUCCUAAAAAUAUAAUAGAAUAUAGUUAUAGGAAUAAUCAGAUUUAUGUCAUUAUACAUAGUGCUUGGCUUUUAAAAAAAAAAAUUGUAGGCAAUGUAAAUGUUGGUCAGCUUGUUAUGGAGCAUAGCAUACCAAAACAACCAUUUCCCCACAAUGGGCAUAUGCAUGUGUGAUUCCUGAAAAAACUAAGGAUUGUGCCUUAGUGAAAGGGCGGUGACAUGCACUCUAUAGACAUCUACUGAAUAGAAUAUAACCUUAGAUCCACCAGAUUGAUAUCAUUGCAAAUGUUGCUGGGUUUUCAAUGGGGCUUGGGGUAACAAAAACAGCCAUUUCCCUUUAGUCUAACUGGCAUAUGCUACCUACAGAAUAAAGCAGGACAAUUUAUAAUUGUAUUAGUAUUUUAUUUAAACAAACAACCAAAUUAAUCCUGUGAGCUGCACAGCACUGGGGGGAGGAAAAACUACAUUUAACUGAAGGAAACCUCAGGGAGUCCACAGCUAGCAGCUACCCUCUCCUCCAGGGCUACCUAUUGGAGAUCUGGAAAGGUGCUGGCAAACUUAUUUUUGCUCGAUACACCUGCGGGGAAAAAAAAAUAGUGUUAGAUUUCUGAAAGAGUUAAUGGUAAAGAAAUUGAAUUAAAAAAUGCAAUUACAUCUCCUUUAAAGGAAAUAAAUUACAUUUUGACUUAACUAUUUACAUUGUAAGCAUAUUUUGCAUAAACAUGGUAUCUUAGGAUGCGAAAGGGUUAUGGUGAAGUUCAUUUUACGCAAUCUAUGUUACACUUACACGUUUGACUCAUCUUUCCAUAGAACAUUGUUCCAGAACUCUUCAGGAUCAUCCAGGUGCUUUUUGGCAAACUUGAGAUGAACAUUCAUGUUCUUCUUAGUGAGCAAUGGUUUCUGCCUUGCCACUCUGCCAUGAAUUCCAUUUUUGCCCAGUGUCUUUCUGAUGGUGGAGUCAUGAACACUGACCUUAGCCGAGGCGAGAGAGGCCUGCAGAUACCUGGAUGUUUUUCUAGGGUUCUUUGUGACUUCCUGGAUGAUUUUACGCCUUGCUCUUGGAGAGAUUUGGCAGGACGGUCACUCCUGGGAAGAUUCACUACUGUCCCAAACUUUCUCCAUUUGGACAAUAUGGCUGACUGUGGUUUGGUGGAGCCCUAGAGCCUUAGAAAUAGCUUUGUAACCCUUUCCAGACUGAUAGGCAUCAACAACUUUUUUCCGGAGGUCUUCAGGAAUUUCUUUUGUUCAUGGCAUGAUGUGCCUCUAGAACCUGUGUGCUGACAACUUCACUCUGAUGGUAAGGGCCAAAGUUAGUCAGAUUUAUAUUGGGCAGGGCUGGCCCAAAUCAGGCCUGGUUGUUAACCAAGGUACUCAAACAGCUGACCCUAAUUAUUCCUUUAAUUGGGUUGCGUUAACUAGGCGGGGCAAUAACUUGUGAAAAAUGUGCGAAAAUGCAGAAAAUCAGACGGGGCAAAUACUUUUUCACGGCACUAUAUAUAUAUAUAUAUAUAUAUAUAUAUAUAUAUAUAUAUAUAUAUAUAUAUGGAUUUAAAAAAUAAAGUGUUCAAUUUUUUAUCUUAUUCCAUCUACUCUGGGCUGAACGGAUAACGCUGGCAAACUCCUUCCCUGCUUGUUGGAUGCUGUUUUUCGAGAGGUUGUUCCCUGGUGCAAUAAGGCACACCAGGUCCGGCUCUUCAGGUAGGGUUUUGUUCAGCACUUCUUUACGGAGUGCAGCUGCACAAGCACCUGAAGUGCAGCUGUAUCCAAAGUGCAGGUCACCCUUGGGCAUCUGAACGUAACCAUCUACCAGGCUCCUCAGAUGCGAGUCUCCAAAAACCAUAACAAACUCAAAUAAAGGAUACAAAAUGGCCACAUCAUUUUAUUAUUUUAUUUUCUUAUAUAGGAAAUUAAUUGAUAGAUUAUGCUUGUUCUUUACAAACCUUUGAGCUGUUUCCUGCAUUCUCAGGGAAAGCUGCCUUGUGGCCUUGUGCUGUUUACCACUACCAUAUUACUGAUGAACAUCCAUAGCUAAUAAAGUAUAGCAGAAAACGUUAAUUCAUUAUUAGUAGUAUUAAAUAUAAUUAUUAUAAAUUAACUUAUUAUUAAUAUAAUCAUGAAAAGUAUUACUAGUUUAAAUAAUUAAAAAAUAUAUAUUUCAGGACGUUUUGAGCAAAAGCCCGUCUUCAGCUAUAUAGAAAAAAAAAUAAAGCUGUCUCUUUGAGCUAAUAUAUAUAUAUAUAUAUAUAUAUAUAUAUAUAUAUUAGCUCAAAGAGCCAGCUGCCCAACGUUUCGAUAUGUUGUACAUAUCUUUCUCAAGGGAGCCUGGAGGUAUUUAUAGGUUUUUGACGGCAUGACAACUACUUGUUAUUGUUUACAUUCAAAUUCAUGAUUUAUUCUUACAUGAUGUAAUGGUGUUCUAUAUAUUGUGACAUCAUUUUUACUUCUAUCUUUGAAUCUGUAUUAAUUCUAAUUAACACUACUUUAUAUAAACUUAUAUUUUUAUUAUAUCAUGCAAUGCUGGCUCUGAGGAUCAGUCUAGAUUUGGCCUCCCCAGCGCAUCAGCAUGCACAACUUUUGAAUGAAUUUUGUUUAUUUAUUUAAAUGUUAUAUAUUUAUUGAAGUUAAUUAGUUCAUUCUUUUCUGUUGAGUCCCGCUGGCAUAAUCGUGUUCAGUCUAUUUAUCCAUUUACUUUCUUUUAUUCUUCUAUAUGUCGCAUUGUCUAAUUUGAGCUGUUCUAAUACUACAAACUUUACAUCAUUUAUGUCAUGUCCCUGACUGGUGAAGUGCUGUACUAUUGGUUCAUUCAUUUUUUUAUUUCUAAUUAAUGAAAGGUGGUUCUGAAUUCUUUUAUAUAAAGUAGUUCCAGUCUCUCCAACAUAUUUGAUUUCAUCACAUUUUUCACAGGCUAUUCCAUAAACAACAUUACUAUUUUUACAGUAGGUAUUAGUUUUUAGUGGAUAUGUGGUGUUCUUAUGUUUAAUUAUAUUUUUACGUUUGUCUAUGUAUUUACACACUUUACAUCUACUAGUGCAUAUGUUCGUAGAACCUAUUUUGUUAAUUAUUCUUUUAUGUUUACUGUGAACUAAAAUAUCACCUAAAUUAGCUUCUCUUUUGAAUGCUACAACUGGGGCCUUAAGAAAUACUUUUUUUAAUUUUUCUGAAUUAUGUAGAAUCCGCAAGUGUUUCCAAACUAUCUUAGAAAUAUUGGGCAAAAGUUUAGAGUAAGUCAUUAUUAAUGGGACUCUUUUGACCUUUUUAUCUCUAUUUUUAUAAUCUAGUAGAUCAUCUCUUUUUAGUUUAUCCACUUUUCUUAACUCCGUCUCUAUAAUUCUUUCUUUGUAUCCUCUUUUUUUAAGAUUUGUUUUUAAUACAUUUCUUUGUUUUACAUAGUCACUUUCUUUUGAGCAUAUUCUUCGUAUUCUUAUUCCUAGACCCUUUGGGAUUGCCCUUUUAGAGUGUAUCGGAUGUGCAGAGGACAUGUGUAAAUACUGGUGCAUGUCAGUAGGUUUACAGAAGAGGUCAGUCUCAAUUGAACCUUCUUCAAGUUUUACUGUGGUAUCUAAAAAUUCUAUUCCUUUCCUUGUCCAUCGAAGGUCCACCUUAAUAUUACUGUGUAUUUCAUUUGCCAUUUUAUGAAACUGGAAAAGAGACUCUUUUCCAUGUGUCCAAACCCCAAAAAUAUCAUCUACAAACCGAAUGUUUUCUAAAGGUUCUCUUUCCGAUUUUAUAAGUAAUUGUUCUUCCCAUUUCCCCAUGUAUGUACUGGCAAAAUGCAUUCCUAAUUUAGAUCCUAUUGCUGUACCAUCGUUUUGUUUGUAAUUCUUAUCAACAAAUGUAAAAUAACUGUUUUCUAAAACUAUGUUGAUCAUGUUCAGUACCUCUGCUGUAGGUAUUGAUUUAUCUAGUCUAUUAUCUAGUGCUUUUUGACAAGCUUCUAAAGUUUCUUUACGAGGGACACUUGGUUACAAGGAUUUUACAUCCAUGCAAAAUAAAAUUGUAUUCUCUGGAAGGUUGUGUUUUAUUGAUUCAAGUCUUUUUAAAAAUUGUGCUGUAUCCUUAACAUAGCUUGGUAAUUUCUCAAUGUGCGACCUAAGUUGUUUUUCUGCUAUUUCAGCUAUUAUGUGUGUUGGAUUAUCAAUUGUACUGACUAUCAUUCACAUAGGGUGAUUUUCUUUGUGCAUUUUAGGAUUUCCUCUUGCUAGGCCUGUUCUUGCAUUAUGUGGCUGCAUGUAUUUUUUUAAUUCUUUUGAUAUAAUGCCUUUAUUGUAUAGUCUCUCCGCAAUUUCCUUAACCUCUUUUACCGAUUUAUUGAUCUUAUUGCUUUUAACUUCUUCAUAUGUAUAUGUAUUAUUUAAUUCACAUUCUACAGAUUUCAUAUAGUCAUCUGUGUUCAUUAUCACUAUUCCUGAGCCUUUAUCUGCUGGUCUUAUCAUUAUAUCAUCAUCAUUUAACAACUCAGUCAUAGCUUGUUCUUCACUAUUGGUUAAAUUAAGUUUACAUCUUUUCUUUAGUCCUACUAUUAUUUCUUGUUUAACUACUUCAAUAUACAUAUCUAACCAUUUAUCUCUUCCAUCCGGAGGAGUCCAUGUGCUUGUACUAUUAACCUUAAUCCCAUGGUCAUAAUUACCCUCUGAAUCCGAGAUAUUUUCAUUGAAAAAAUAUUCUGCUAAUCUCAUGCGUCUCUCCCACUCCUUUAAUUCAGUGGCCAGUUUAUCUUUAUCGAUGUAUCUUUUAGUCGGUAUAAACUUAAGUCCUUUACUCAGUACCGCUUUUUGGGAUGUGGUUAAAGUUUUACUUGAUAAAUUAAAUACUAUGUCUUCUGUCUUAUCUUUUGUGUAUUUGGUACCAUGUUUAUUUUUGGGUCUCCUAUCUUUCUGUUUUGAAUUCUCUGUCCUAUUCAUGUUUAACUCUCUAUUUUGCAUUUUAUUAUUUACUUUAACCUGGUUUAUUUUUACUGUUUUAGAUUUAUUUUGAUUAUCUUUCUUAAUUAUUCCACAGUAUUUAGAUUUUCUUCCGGUUUCAUUGUCUUUAAAUACAAGAACUGAGAAAUGGUUAUUGUUGUAUAAAAGAUUAAUUGGAUUGUUCUUAUUUUUAAUAUAUUCCAUUGUGCCUUCGUAUUUAAAACAGUCCUUAUUCUUUAAGUCUAUGUAUACGUGUAUGGGCCUAUUUAGGAGGUCUACAGCUGCCAUAACUUCUGCCUCUGUAGCCCAAGAAUCUAUACUCCCAUCACUUAAUUUCAUUUUUUCAAUAUGGGUCACUGAAUCGAUGUACAUUUCAUAUUGUUGUAUAUUGCUUUCCAUUACUUCUGUUAUAUCAUGUCUAAUUGUUCGAUGGUCAUUUUGUGAACCGUAUAGAACUACACCUAAACAUCUAAAGAAACAGUUCCCGUCCUUCUCUAUUUGAACUAUGUUGUAGCCGUCAUAACUCUUCUACUCGCAUUGCUCAAGCAUUCUAUUCGAAAGUGUUUCAGCAGUG